CUGAUGAAGGAAUGCUGCCAUCAAAGGCUUUGAAGCUUUUGUGGUGGAGCAGGACCUGCUAGGAAAGGUGACGGCGGCAUUUGUG